AUGAUGGCGGUAGUGGUAGUAGUGGUAGUGGUAGUAGUGGUAAUGAUGAUGAUGGUGGUGGUAGUAGUGGCAAUGAUGGUGGUGGUGGUGGUAGUAGGGGUAAUGAUGAUGGUGGUGGUAGUAGUGGUAAUGAUGAUAAUGGUCGUGGUAGUAGUGGUAAUGAUGGCGGUGGUGGUGGUAGUAGUAGUGGUAAUGAUGGUGGUGGUGGUGGUAGUAGUGGCAAUGAUGGUGGUGGUAGUAGUAGUGGUAAUGAUGGUGGUGGUGGCAGUGGUAAUGAUGAUGAUGGUGGUAGUAGUGGUAAUGAUGAUAAUGGUGGUAGUAGUGGUAAUGAUGGUGGUGGUGGUACUAGUGGUAAUGAUGAUGAUGGUGGUAGUAGUGGUAAUGAUGAUGGUGGUAGUAGUAGUGGUAAUGGCGAUGGCGGUGGUAGUGGUAAUGAUGACAGUGGUAGUAGUGGUAAUGAUGAUGGUGGUGGUAGUAGUGGUAAUGAUGGUGGUGGUGGUAUUAGUGGUAAUAAUGAUGCUGGUGGUAGUAGUGCUAAUGAUGGUGGUGGUAUAGUGGUAAUUAUGGUGGUGGUGGUGGUAGUAGUAGU
ensembl:lncRNA